rnacentral:rRNA from 1 species
CGUAAGCGCGCGUAGGUGGUUUGUUAAGUUGGAUGUGAAAGCCCCGGGCUCAACCUGGGAACUGCAUCCAAAACUGGCAAGCUAGAGUACGGUAGAGGGUGGUGGAAUUUCCUGUGUAGCGGUGAAAUGCGUAGAUAUAGGAAGGAACACCAGUGGCGAAGGCGACCACCUGGACUGAUACUGACACUGAGGUGCGAAAGCGUGGGGAGCAAACAGGAUUAGAAACCCUNGUAGUC